AGAGUUUGAUCCUGGCUCAGGAUGAACGCUAGCGACAGGCCUAACACAUGCAAGUCGAGGGGCAGCGGGGAGGUAGCAAUACCUUUGCCGGCGACCGGCGCACGGGUGAGUAACACGUAUGCAAUCCACCUGUAACAGGGGGAUAACCCGGAGAAAUCCGGACUAAUACCCCACUAAUAUGGCGCUCCGCAUGGAGAGUUCAUUAAGAGAGCAAUUUGGUUACAGACGAGCAUGCGCUCCAUUA
rnacentral:rRNA from 1 species